rnacentral:rRNA from 1 species
CCCUUAGAUGUUCUGGGCCGCACACGCGCUACACUGAAGGAGGCAGCGUGUACUCCUGGAUCGAAAGAUUUGGGUAACCCGCGAAUCUCCUUCGUGCUAGGGAUUGAGGUUUGCAAUUAUCCUUCAUGAACGAGGAAUUCCCAGUAAGUGCAAGUCAUAAGCUUGCGCUGACUACGUCCCUGCCCUUUGUACACACCGCCCGUCGCUACUACCGAUUGAAUGAUUUAGUGAGGACUUCGGACUGGGACCGAUGCGGCUUUCGGGCUGCGUCGGUAUUCUGGAAAGAUGGCCAAACUGUAUCAUUUAGAGGAAGUAAAAGUCGUAACA